GCCCGCUUGAUCUUCAGAGCCAAGGUUAUGAGACACUCCGACUCUGAGUAGGAUAGCAGUCAGUGCACUACAGAAUUUUGUCUCUGCAGACUGUGGUC
rnacentral:pre_miRNA from 1 species